rnacentral:rRNA from 1 species
AGAGUUUGAUCCUGGCUCAGAGCGAACGCUGGCGGCAGGCUUAACACAUGCAAGUCGAGCGGGCAUAGCAAUAUGUCAGCGGCAGACGGGUGAGUAACGCGUGGGAACAUACCUUUUGGUUCGGAACAACACAGGGAAACUUGUGCUAAUACCGGAUAAGCCCUUACGGGGAAAGAUUUAUCGCCGAAAGAUUGGCCCGCGUCUGAUUAGCUAGUUGGUGAGGUAACGGCUCACCAAGGCGACGAUCAGUAGCUGGUCUGAGAGGAUGAUCAGCCACAUUGGGACUGAGACACGGCCCAAACUCCUACGGGAGGCAGCAGUGGGGAAUAUUGGACAAUGGGCGCAAGCCUGAUCCAGCCAUGCCGCGUGAGUGAUGAAGGCCCUAGGGUUGUAAAGCUCUUUUGUGCGGGAAGAUAAUGACGGUACCGCAAGAAUAAGCCCCGGCUAACUUCGUGCCAGCAGCCGCGGUAAUACGAAGGGGGCUAGCGUUGCUCGGAAUCACUGGGCGUAAAGGGUGCGUAGGCGGGUCUUUAAGUCAGGGGUGAAAUCCUGGAGCUCAACUCCAGAACUGCCUUUGAUACUGAGGAUCUUGAGUUCGGGAGAGGUGAGUGGAACUGCGAGUGUAGAGGUGAAAUUCGUAGAUAUUCGCAAGAACACCAGUGGCGAAGGCGGCUCACUGGCCCGAUACUGACGCUGAGGCACGAAAGCGUGGGGAGCAAACAGGAUUAGAUACCCUGGUAGUCCACGCCGUAAACGAUGAAUGCCAGCCGUUAGUGGGUUUACUCACUAGUGGCGCAGCUAACGCUUUAAGCAUUCCGCCUGGGAGUACGGUCGCAAGAUUAAAACUCAAGGGAAUUGACGGGGGCCCGCACAAGCGGUGGAGCAUGUGGUUUAAUUCGACGCAACGCGCAGAACCUUACAAGCCCUUGACAUCCCGGUCGCGGACUCCAGAGAUGGAGUCCUUCAGUUCGGCUGGACCGGAGACAGGUGCUGCAUGGCUGUCGUCAGCUCGCGUCGUGAGAUGUUGGGUUAAGUCCCGCAACGAGCGCAACCCCCGUCCUUAGUUGCUACCAUUUAGUUGAGCACUCUAAGGAGACUGCCGGUGAUAAGCCGCGAGGAAGGUGGGGAUGACGUCAAGUCCUCAUGGCCCUUACGGGCUGGGCUACACACGUGCUACAAUGGCGGUGACAAUGGGACGCUAAGGGGCAACCCUCCGCAAAUCUCAAAAAGCCGUCUCAGUUCGGAUUGGGCUCUGCAACUCGAGCCCAUGAAGUUGGAAUCGCUAGUAAUCGUGGAUCAGCAUGCCACGGUGAAUACGUUCCCGGGCCUUGUACACACCGCCCGUCACACCAUGGGAGUUGGUUUUACCUGAAGACGGUGCGCUAACCCGCAAGGGAGGCAGCCGGCCACGGUAGGGUCGGCGACUGGGGUGAAGUCGUAACAAGGUA